rnacentral:rRNA from 1 species
AUUGAACGCUGGCGGAAUGCUUUACACAUGCCAGUCGAGCGGCAGCACGGGGGCAACCCUGGUGGUGAGCGGCGAACGGGUGAGUAAUACAUCGGAACAUGCCUAGUCGUGGGGGAUAACACUUCGAAAGAGGUGCUAAUACCGCAUACGUCCUGAGGGGGAAAGCGGGGGAUCGCCAGACCUCGCGCGAUUGGAGUGGCCGAUGUCGGAUUAGCUAGUUGGUGGGGUAAAGGCCUACCAAGGCGACGAUCUGUAGCUGGUCUGAGAGGAUGAUCAGCCACACUGGAACUGAGACACGGUCCAGACUCCUACGGGAGGCAGCAGUGGGGAAUUUUGGACAAUGGGCGAAAGCCUGAUCCAGCCAUGCCGCGUGUGUGAAGAAGGUCUUCGGAUUGUAAAGCACUUUCAGUUGGGGGGAAGCGGAGUAAGUUAAUACAUUGCUGUAUUGACGUUACCAAAAGAAUAAGCACCGGCUAACUUCGUG